UAGCGUUCCAUAGUCUCCCAUUGUUCUGACUCCAAAAUGCUGACCAUCCUUUUUUUGUCUUUCUUCAAAAAGCAGAUUAUGUUUAAUCUUGAAGAUGAUGAAGUAGUUUGGGUGCUGAAAUCUUCACUGAGCUGAGUUGAUGUCUAUCAACAGGGACCAUGGUCAUUCACAAGAUGCGAUGUGGAAGAUACUGGAAGUGCUGACUAUUGGAUCUGUAUGGAUGGGCAUUGAUGGAGGGUACAUGUGCAAGGAGCAGCUUCGUAAGUUUUAGCAAAGAUUUAGGCGAAUGAGCUAUAUGAGAUGAAGUACUCCCAAUAUCGAGGCUAAUCAACGCUUUAUGGACUAUUGGCUUGCCAUCAUCCGAAGAAAGACUUUGCAAGUCUAGCUAUAUAAGUUCAACUGUUCAGGCGAUGACCUCAAAUAAUGAGACGACAUAAUCAAAAUCUUGAGGCUAAUCAACGCUUUUUGGACUGUUUGCAACCAUCCGAAGAAAGACUGUGUCAAGUCUACCCAGAUGAUUCUCUGCUACAGUUCAACUCGUCAAGUGAUAUAGUGGUGUUGAGACCACAUACAGUAACGUUUUUGGACUGUCGCCAACUGAAGAAAGACUAGCCGAUAACUCUCUGCAUACAGGUCAAUUACUGUUCAAGUGGUGUUGAUGCUACAUUUUGUAAGUUUGGAGUGCCGCCAACUGAAGAAAGACUGUGUCAAGUCUACCCAGACGACUUUCUGCUACAGUUCAACUCAAGUGAUUUCAUGUAGUAAUGUUGAUGCUACAUUUUAGUUUGGAUUGUCAUACUAAAGAAAGACUGUGUUAAGUCUACUCAAAAUGACUCUCUGCAAGUUCAGCUCAGUGCUCAAGAGAUGAAGUGAUCUCGAUACCUUCAUUGCAAUUGACGGUCAACAAAUGAACAAACACUGUCAAUUCUCGCCGGAUGAACUCCUACACAAUGUUCAACUGAUACAAGCUGGACCAUUAUGAUAAUCUAAUGGGAGACUUUUUGGACGCUUGGUGGCAGCAGACUUACCACGUAAA